GGGGGGGGCAAGCGUUGUUCGGAAUUACUGGGCGUAAAGGGCUCGUAGGCGGCCGACUAAGUCUGACGUGAAAUCCCCCGGCUUAACCUGGGAACUGCGUCAGGUACUGGUUGGCUUGAGAUCGGGAGAGGGACGUGGAAUUCCAGGUGUAGCGGUGAAAUGCGUAGAUAUCGGGAGGAACACCGGUGGCGAAGGCGGCGUCCUGGACCGACACUGACGCUGAGGAGCGAAAGCCAGGGGAGCAAACGGGAUUAGAUACCCCGGUAGUCCUGGCCCUAAACGAUGAAUGCUUGGUGUGGCGGGUAUCGAUCCCCGCCGUGCCGGAGCUAACGCAUUAAGCAUUCCGCCUGGGGAGUACGGUCGCAAGGCUG
rnacentral:rRNA from 1 species